rnacentral:lncRNA from 10 species
GAACUGGGGGGUUAACCCAAAAAGAUCAAGUGCGAGCUCAAGGCGGAUGAUGAGAACAGAUUCGGGGCUGGUUAACCUCAGAGAGCGGGAGUCCGUUGGUGCUAAUGAGGCCAAGGGAGCCCGGCUCCUUUCUGCCCCCAGGCAGGUGAGAAAGAAAGAACGGAGACGAAAGAGGGCCCGCUGUGUCUACUCCUCUUGGCCCAGAAGCCCAGCUGGACCCUGAGGCCACAAACUGCCCCCUACUGGAGAAAUCGCUGCAGGAUUUCUCCUCCAUCAAAUCGCUGUGUCAGAGCCAGUUGGGGGCUUUUAAAAGACGCCCACGCUCAGGCCCGCACCAGGCCACCUACACUGGAAUAUCUGAGGCUAAGUCCCAAGCUAGAAUUUCCCAUCUUCUUUCUGGCCUUGGGAGAUUUUGCAUCUCCUUCCAGGGAAGGAAGCCUGACUUCUGAAAUGAUUCUCACGAAGGAGAAGUGCUCCGUUCUGCAGUGAGCCUGGCCAGGGGGGCCACACCACAGACUCCCAGGAGGCUUCUGCUCUGCGUGGUUCUUCUGCUCUCGUUUCCUUAACGAUUGGGCCAGAGCAUCUCUGCUCUUGUAAAAUAGCAGGCAAUUAGAUCUCGAAGUCUUUGAAGUGGGCAGAUUCACCAGGCGUUGGACUGAAGUUUCUAUUUGUCCUGGCACUGAGAAUAGCAAAGGAACAGGGGGACUGAACUGGUAAGGAUAUAGCAGGUAUGGAAAGAGGCAUAGAGAGGUGAAGUCUCUUGCUGAUAUCUUCUAGACCGGGCUGGCUGCAGGGUCUGUUGCUCUCAACCAGAGGAAAUAGAACCAUGAAAGAACAAGGGAGCCAGUUGCCAUGUCAUGGGGAGGACACUCAGGCAGCCCCGUGGGGAGACUCAUGUGAGGAGGAACUGAGAUGUCUUGCCAACAUCCAUAUGAGGGAGCCAUCUUGUAAAUGAAUCUUCCAGUCCCAAUCAAGUCUUCAGAUGACCAGAGCCUCAGCUGAUAACUUGGCUGCAGCCUCAUGAGAGAUCCUGAGCCAGAACCACUCAGCCAAGGUGUUCCUAGAUUCCUGCCUCUCAAAAACUGUGUGAGAUAAUAGAUGCUUAUUGUUUAAAGUUGUUUAGGGUAACUCAUUGUGUAGCAAUAGAUAGCUGAAACAGGAGGCUCUACAUUUACUCUUUUUUUUUUUUUUUCUUGGAGACAGAGUCUUGCUGUGUCACCCAGGCUGGAGUGCAGUGGGGCAAUCUCCGCUCAUUGCAAUCUGCG